rnacentral:miRNA from 1 species
AGCCAAUGGUGCGAAGCUA